rnacentral:rRNA from 1 species
AUUGAACGCUGGCGGCAGGCCUAACACAUGCAAGUAGAGCUGAGCGGCGGACGGGUGAGUAAUGCAUAGGAAUCUGCCUGGUAGUGGGGGAUAACGUCCGGAAACGAGCGGUAAUACCGCAUACUAUCAGAUGAGCCUAGGUCGGAUUAGCUAGAUGGUGGGGUAAAGGCCUACCAAGGAGACGAUCCGUAACUGGUCUGAGUGGAUGAUCAGUCACACUGGAACUGAGACACGGUCGCGCCUCCUACGGGAGGCAGCAGUGGGGAAUAUUGGACAAUGGGCGAAAGCCUGAGCCAGCCAUGCCGCGUUUGUGAAGAAGGUCUUCGGAUUGUAAAGCACUUUAAGUUGGGAGGCGUUACCAACAGAAUAAGCACCGGCUAACUUCGUGCCAGCAGCCGCGGUAAUUC